GCUGCAGGGGACGAGCGAGGAGCAGUGAGUGGGGUCCCACACAAAGCGCAAGGGCCACUCUCCAGCACACGCCCCAGACCCUCCUCCCUCUAAGGGGGACGUCCACCCCCACACCUGGGAAGCUGGCGUUAGGACGCAUCACCACCAGGAACUUUAGCCAAGGUCACAGUAAACACUCUCCCUACCCUCCCAGAAGGCAGAGCGUUAACCAUCUAACUUGACCAAAUGUGUCAGAAUGUUUGUAGCCUCCAAUUAAUUGCCUUCUGGGGUCUCCAACCGCCUUUUCCUCAAGUGGAUUCAUGUGCAUUUAAUUAUGAUGUAUCUAUAAAUCUCUCAGACAUGGUUCAGAAUAAACCUAUUGGGAAAGUAAAUAGCAGGUCUGCUGUUCUAGUCUUCUGCCUGACUGACCCAUCCUGCUGGUUUUGACAGAAUUAAUUGGACUGUGUUUUUAGGAUGGAACCAUUUCCCAUCUUACUCUCUUCCUCUCCUAGGAGAAGCCUCUCUCCAGCUGAAGAUCUCUACGGCAGACCUGCCUUUCCAGAUGCCUGUACAGUAUUCACAUCUGAGAGGAAAAAACAAACUGCUCUGGGUACUUAGUUCUCAAAGAGCCAAAAAAGCAGACCAAGGACCAUCACCCUCCAAGGCUCUCCAGCUCAUGAGAUCCUCAGCUUCCUCAAGUAUUUACCUCUUCCUGAAAUGGAUCAGUCCUAAGAGUGAUCUAAGCAGCAAUCAAGGCUUCAUGCUGGGACUCCCCUCACAGCUACUUCUCAGAUCCCAAGAGUGGAUACUGCGUGGCGCACCACCCUUCCAGUAGGGGAAACAAGAAAGGCAAAGGCUGGAUGACAAAUCCUUUCACAAGUCAGAUGUUUCUAAUUCUGUGCUUUCAACAAAACUGAAGAAAUACCAAACUGAGUUAGCAGCUGAUUCGUCAUUAAAGAAAGGACUGAUGGAG